rnacentral:rRNA from 1 species
UACAGAGGGUGCGAGCGUUAAUCGGAAUUACUGGGCGUAAAGCGCGCGUAGGCGGCUUUGUAAGUCGGUUGUGAAAUCCCCGGGCUUAACCUGGGAACUGCAUCCGAGACUGCAUAGCUAGAGUAUGGGAGAGGGAAGUGGAAUUUCAGGUGUAGCGGUGAAAUGCGUAGAUAUCAGGAAGAAUACCUGUGGCGAAGGCGGCUAUCUGGACCGACAUUGACGCUGAGGCGCGAAAGCGUGGGGAGCAAACAGG